rnacentral:lncRNA from 1 species
CUGUGUUUUAAAAAGCGCAAGGCGAGGCAAGGCGCUGGGGUGCUCAGUUUGAGCCUUGAGCCUAGGCGCUGGAGCCUCUGAGCCUUGGCCGUUUGAGGCGCAACUACAAAAUAAAACAGUAGGUUAGAUAUAUUCAUUGAUUCAUAAGCAUAUUUAGAACAAUUUGUGAGUCUGAAAAGAGAUUAAAAAAGAAAAUCCAAAAAGGAACAGCAACUGCAUGUUUCCUGACUGGAUCUGAUCCAGACAUGAUGAGAUGAUGAAGAAAAGAGAAUUGGGAGAAUAGAAAGUAUAGAGAAGAGACAAGAGCGUGGAGAAGAUGAAAGACAGAGGCUGGGAGAAUAUGAAAAGACAAAGGCUGGAGACGUGAGUUUAUCAAAAGUUUUUAGGUUUUUUCUCAUUUAAUUUACAUGCCAUAUUUUUGGAAACAUAAAAAGCAAGAGAAUAUCAAUGAUUUUGCAUUAUUACCUUUUUCUGUCUGAGGCGCAAAGCGAGUUGAGGCGCGCCUUGAGCCCAGGCGUCCCGGAGCGAGAGCCUAGAGGAGAUCGCCUAGCCUAACCAGUUUGAGGCGCUGACCCCUUAGCCUCACUGCGCCUUGAGCCUAGGCGAGGCCUAGGCGCGCUUUUUAAAACACAGG